CACCUACGGGUGGCUGCAGUGGGGAAUUUUGGACAAUGGGCGCAAGCCUGAUCCAGCAAUGCCGCGUGCAGGAUGAAGGCCUUCGGGUUGUAAACUGCUUUUGUACGGAACGAAAAGGUUCUCUCUAAUACAGGGGGCAUAUGACGGUACCGUAAGAAUAAGCACCGGCUAACUACGUGCCAGCAGCCGCGGUAAUACGUAGGGUGCGAGCGUUAAUCGGAAUUACUGGGCGUAAAGCGUGCGCAGGCGGUUUUGUAAGACAGAGGUGAAAUCCCCGGGCUCAACCUGGGAACUGCCUUUGUGACUGCAAGGCUGGAGUGCGGCAGAGGGGGAUGGAAUUCCGCGUGUAGCAGUGAAAUGCGUAGAUAUGCGGAGGAACACCGAUGGCGAAGGCAAUCCCCUGGGCCUGCACUGACGCUCAUGCACGAAAGCGUGGGGAGCAAACAGGAUUAGAUACCCUGGUAGUCCACGCCCUAAACGAUGUCAACUGGUUGUUGGGGGUUAAUUCACUCAGUAACGAAGCUAACGCGUGAAGUGACCGC
rnacentral:rRNA from 1 species